CACGUGCAAAUCCAUCGGUACAGGAGCGCUUUCUGCCUCAGAUUUGGGAAUUCCAGCCCCAGCCCCAGCCCCAGCCCCAGGGCCUGGGAACUUCGGCCAGUUAAAGUGACUUUCCCGUCCGUGACCAUCAGAUGGUGAAACUGAAGUUCUGCUCUGUGGGAUACGGUAUGAGUGGCGCCAUGAACUCAGGGCUGGGUGCCUCCAGGUGAAAAAGAAAGCCUUGUGGGGACUUGCAAGCCUUUUGUGUCCUACGUUAUUGUCUUCCAAACUGCAGAGGUGAGUUUUAG